AUGUGUGUCCCAAAAGACCAAGGAGGAAUGGGUUUCCGUGAUAUACUCUUUAACCUAGCCUUGUUAGCGAAACAAGCUUGGCAUCUCUUAGAUAAUCCUGAAUCGUUAUGUGCAACAAUUCUAAGAGCCAAGUAUUUCUCGGAGGGCGAUUUGAUGAGCGCAAUACUAAAAAAGGGCUCCUCUUUUACUUGGCAAAGCAUUAUGGCGGGAGUGGAUUCUCUCAGGAAUGGAUAUAUAUGGAGAGUGGGUACCGGAGAAAAUAUUGACAUAUGGAAAGAUGCAUAGAUCCAAAAUUGUGCAGAUAGGAAAAUUAUUACACCUAGAAAAGGGAAUCUCCUGACGAAAGUUUCCGAUCUUAUUGACCCAGUUACGAAUUGUUGGGAUGAAGAGUUGGUGAGACAAAUGUUGUGGCCAAUUGAUGCUCAUAGAGUCCUAGCGAUCCCAAUCCCUAUGCACAAUAUGCCGGAUUUUAUUGCUUGGAGCUAUACCAAAAACGGUUUAUUCACUGUUCGAUCAGCUUAUGUGGAUGAAUGGAACAAACAACAUGGGAGGAAAUUGGAAUAUUCAAAUGGCAUGGGUAGAAGUAAGGUUAAUCCUAUUUGGGGUAAGAUCUGGAAAUUAACUCGUCCAACGAAGGUUAAAUUUUUUAUUUGGUGGACGCUUCACGGGACUCUACCGUCUCGCGUUACACUAGCCAACAGACAUAUAAAAACUCAAGCAGUCUGCGCAUGUUUGGAUGGAUCGAAGGACACGAAACAUGUGUUGUUUCUGUGCCAGAAGGCAAAGAAGUGUGGAGACAUUUGGGGUUGUAUGAAGUGGUAA
rnacentral:rRNA from 1 species